UACGUAGGAUCCAAGCGUUGUCCGGAUUUACUGGGUGUAAAGGGUGCGCAGGCGGGCUGGUAAGUCUGGGGUGAAAUCUCGCCGCUUAACGGCGAAACUGCCUUAGAUACUAUCAGUCUUGGAUAAGCGAGAGGUUCGUGGAAUUCCGAGUGUAGCAGUGAAAUGUGUAGAUAUUCGGAAGAACACCAGUGGCGAAGGCAGCGAACUGGCGCUUUAUCGACGCUCAGGCACGAAAGCAUGGGGAU
rnacentral:rRNA from 1 species